GUAUUUGUUCCUUUUUUCCCUCUCCUCUCUUUUUCUCUCUAGGUCUUCUGGCUGGUUUGCACUCCAGCCCCCACCAUGCAGCGCCACUCCCACACUCUGCCCUGUCCACUCAUUUACCACAGAGUUUGCCAGAUGCUUCUCAGCUUCACGGCAAAGGGUCCAAUGCACAGCAGCGCAAGUUGUGACCCCUGUGAGGAGGGGAGAGACAGCACCUAUAGGAUAAAACCCAGAGGAGCAGCUCAUGGACUUUGGAUACCAGCUAUGUCUUUUGAUUGCUUUCGAUUUUUUUGUCUUCUGUUUCUUUUUUUUUACAACAACUGGAGAGACUGAACUGCACCGAGGAGCUCAUUGGGGUGUCUGCUCAGAAGUUUUCAGAGCUGAGCCCCAGCCACCGGGCCACCUUGAGCCAUGCCCUGAUGAGAGAGAGAAGCCUUCUGUAGCACUGUUUUAUUGCUGCUGCCCUUCCUGCAUUCCCUGACACUGGCAGUCGCUGGAACUUGCAGGGACACUGGGGUGCUCCUGUACUUUAUUUCCACCCGUGUCCGUAGCUGCCAAGUACCUCCAAGUCCAGUUACCUCCCUGGUCUCCCCGUGGAGGGUGUGAAAGGUGCUUCUUUCUUCUGCUUUGGAUUUACCUGGAUCAUUCUAGCACUGCCAGUGCUUUCUUGAAGACAUUUGAGUAACUUUCCAAUUGUACUAUGAAAGUGUGCUACACUCAAUUGGAGGGUUGAACAUUUGCUGUGUGGUGAGUGUGAGGAAACACCUGAUGUUCCCCUCUGGAGGAGAAGGAAGACUUUUUAGAGUCUUUAGAAGAGAGACAUUUUUAGAUGCAGUCAUUGACUUUUAGAAUUCUACUUCUUUUGGGUUUUUGGAUUUUUUUUCCCUCCAAAGGGAUGCUUUUUUCCUGCUCAGUUUUAUCCUCAUUGCCAUCGAAUGCAUUGGAUUGAAUGGGACACUUCUUGGCAUGUCACAUGAAUCGGGAGACAUAAUUCCAGUGCCUUUUAUGGUGGAGCAAGAAUGGACUAGUGACACACAUUUCAGCCCUAUUUUGUGUGCUCCUCAACCCUUUUUUAAUCAUUCUGUAUUUAAAAUGUGUUCUGGUUUAUUUAAUAGAGCUUUCUAUGGUUGCACAUAAAAAAAACAAAAACAAAAACAAAAACAAAAGAGAAAGAAAAGCUGCACUGUCUGGACUUUAGUGGUGACCUGGUGACUGACUACAGUCCCAAAUCCAGCAGGAGCACCAGUUCUCAUCCCAGUAUGUGCAGGUGGGUUCCACGCCCUCCCUUAAAGCCAUUCUUUCCUAGGGUUGUGAGUGAGGAUCAAUUUGGUGGGCAGAGAGAAUGAGUGAGAUGAACCAAGGUCACUCCUGUCAAAGGAAUUCCAGAGAAAACCACUGCUCUCCUCAAACAUCCUGCACCAGGGUCGUGUGCUCGGCACAGCUGCAGGAACAGGGACCAUCUACACUUGGGGGUUUGUUGUUAAUUUUUUAACUUCUGCACUUAAAUGCUCCCCCUGAGCACCCCCUUUCAGGCUCAGGGCAGGCUGAGGCUCCACCUGAGCUUUUUGAGGUUUUGGUUUCCUGCUCUUCCCCAGUCUGUCUUCUCUCAGGCCCCCACAGCCACAUCCCAGUUGUGCAGGGGUAGUGCUGGUCCACGUAGAAUUUACUGAUAUUCUGAGGAAAAGCUUUUGGCUUCCUCCUCGAGCUUUGGGGAAGGCUGCUGACCCCAGAAUACUAACAAAUGCCUGCUUUAGUUUCCCCUGUUUUUUGUUGAGAUCGAGAAAGUCUGUUUUCAGUUGGAGUUGGUAUAUAACUGCCCAAGAUCAAUGAGUUGAUUGUAUUUCAGAAUAAUGGAGACAGCUCAGAUUUCAAGUCUGUUUACAGAAAAUACCGAGGUUGUAGCAAAAGAGCCAAAGACAGAGCUGGUGUGGGUAAAACAAAGAGCAGCAGUUCC
ensembl:lncRNA